rnacentral:rRNA from 1 species
GACGAACGCUGGCGGCGUGCUUAACACAUGCAAGUCGAACGGAAAGGCCCUGCUUUUGUGGGGUGCUCGAGUGGCGAACGGGUGAGUAACACGUGAGUAACCUGCCCUUGACUUUGGGAUAACUUCAGGAAACUGGGGCUAAUACCGGAUAGGAGCUCCUGCUGCAUGGUGGGGGUUGGAAAGUUUCGGCGGUUGGGGAUGGACUCGCGGCUUAUCAGCGUGUUGGUGGGGUAGUGGCUUACCAAGGCUUUGACGGGUAGCCGGCCUGAGAGGGUGACCGGCCACAGUGGGACUGAGAUACGGCCCAGACUCCUACGGGAGGCAGCAGUGGGGAAUAGUGCACAAUGGGCGGAAGCCUGAUGCAGCAACGCCGCGUGCGGGAUGACGGCCUUCGGGUUGUAAACCGCUUUCGCCUGUGACGAAGCGUGAGUGACGGUAAUGGGUAAAGAAGCACCGGCUAACUACGUG